AGAGUUUGAUCCUGGCUCAGGAUGAACGCUAGCUACAGGCUUAACACAUGCAAGUCGAGGGGCAGCAUGGUCUUAGCUUGCUAAGGCCGAUGGCGACCGGCGCACGGGUGAGUAACACGUAUCCAACCUGCCGUCUACUCUUGGACAGCCUUCUGAAAGGAAGAUUAAUACAAGAUGGCAUCAUGAGUCCGCAUGUUCACAUGAUUAAAGGUAUUCCGGUAGACGAUGGGGAUGCGUUCCAUUAGAUAGUAGGCGGGGUAACGGCCCACCUAGUCUUCGAUGGAUAGGGGUUCUGAGAGGAAGGUCCCCCACAUUGGAACUGAGACACGGUCCAAACUCCUACGGGAGGCAGCAGUGAGGAAUAUUGGUCAAUGGGCGAGAGCCUGAACCAGCCAAGUAGCGUGAAGGAUGACUGCCCUAUGGGUUGUAAACUUCUUUUAUAAAGGAAUAAAGUCGGGUAUGGAUACCCGUUUGCAUGUACUUUAUGAAUAAGGAUCGGCUAACUCCGUGCCAGCAGCCGCGGUAAUACGGAGGAUCCGAGCGUUAUCCGGAUUUAUUGGGUUUAAAGGGAGCGUAGAUGGAUGUUUAAGUCAGUUGUGAAAGUUUGCGGCUCAACCGUAAAAUUGCAGUUGAUACUGGAUAUCUUGAGUGCAGUUGAGGCAGGCGGAAUUCGUGGUGUAGCGGUGAAAUGCUUAGAUAUCACGAAGAACUCCGAUUGCGAAGGCAGCCUGCUAAGCUGCAACUGACAUUGAGGCUCGAAAGUGUGGGUAUCAAACAGGAUUAGAUACCCUGGUAGUCCACACGGUAAACGAUGAAUACUCGCUGUUUGCGAUAUACAGCAAGCGGCCAAGCGAAAGCGUUAAGUAUUCCACCUGGGGAGUACGCCGGCAACGGUGAAACUCAAAGGAAUUGACGGGGGCCCGCACAAGCGGAGGAACAUGUGGUUUAAUUCGAUGAUACGCGAGGAACCUUACCCGGGCUUAAAUUGCAGAUGAAUUACGGUGAAAGCCGUAAGCCGCAAGGCAUCUGUGAAGGUGCUGCAUGGUUGUCGUCAGCUCGUGCCGUGAGGUAUCGGCUUAAGUGCCAUAACGAGCGCAACCCUUGUUGUCAGUUACUAACAGGUUCCGCUGAGGACUCUGACAAGACUGCCAUCGUAAGAUGUGAGGAAGGUGGGGAUGACGUCAAAUCAGCACGGCCCUUACGUCCGGGGCUACACACGUGUUACAAUGGGGGGUACAGAGGGCCGCUACCACGCGAGUGGAUGCCAAUCCCCAAAACCUCUCUCAGUUCGGACUGGAGUCUGCAACCCGACUCCACGAAGCUGGAUUCGCUAGUAAUCGCGCAUCAGCCACGGCGCGGUGAAUACGUUCCCGGGCCUUGCACACACCGCCCGUCA
rnacentral:rRNA from 1 species